CAAAGAAUAGUUUAUUAAAAUAUUAAUUUUGGAGAUUAAUGAUAAGGAUUAUUCCUUUUCUCUGA
rnacentral:tRNA from 1 species